GUCCACUCGCAUCGACAGUUACGAUGCGCGACGGAUUCUUCUGUAUGUGUCUGCCUGCUGGACUGAGAGUCAAGUGAAUCUAAACGAAUCUGUGAUUACAAUUACAAUCGCUAUCUAUCGUGGUUUCUCUUCGCACCCCACCACUCCUGAGCCUCCGGGCUCUUCUUGUUGGAGUCUCUAGGAAGCCGCUCUUCUCUCUCUGCCUGCUGUCCACCAGUCUGCUCCCAGUCCAGCUCUUUAAACGAGGUUCCCCUGGAGCUUCUCCCUCUGUAGUUUCUACCCCCUUGAUCCUAGACAGACACCGAGCGGACAGAGGACGCCGCCGGGGACGUCUCUCUGAGUCCAACAGGACAACCCCACUCCCUGAGCUGCAUUCACUGUUUGAGUCUGCACCUAGAGGGGUGAUAAAACAAAAGGGAGGGAUGGACAGAUGACUGCUGUCUGACAGAGCGAGGAGGCCGGGGGUCGAUCCAGUCACUGAGACGGGGUCGGUGGUGGAGCGGAUGGUGUGGGCUGAGCUGAGGGGAAACUGGACCAAAGACGCCUCCAGUGUCCCGAAUGCUCCGCUGGUGUGGUUUAGUUGAUCCCAGUGUGACAGGAGCACGGCUGCCUCUCACAUUAUCAUUCACAGUCAUGUGACCCAAAUGUCAUUCCCACUCUGCAUUCACCCAUGACACAUUGUCAACAACUCUCAGUUUAAAUCUGUUGUGCAGCAAAGAGUGGAGAUCCAAAUAUACUUUUGGGGUAUUGUUUCCUGUGGAGAUGUGACACUAGGUGUGAGGGUUUAGACAAAUAUAUUAUAAGUAACUAAUUAAUGUAACACCUGUUGAGGCAACUGAGUCGCUUUUUCGUGCAAAAUCAUUUACUUUCAAUUCAAAGGCGAUUAUUGAUGAAGAAUUGCCCUCAACUACUUUUGGAGAGGCAACAGUUACAGAGAAAUUAAAGUUAGGGGAAAGGUUUAUCCAAAAUAUAAGUUGAAUGUGGACACGGAGCACCCUGAAUAAAUGCAGCAUUGUGCACUAUGCUCCUCAGUGCAGACACCAAACAGUGGAGGCUCACACACUCUUGACUCUCCAACAGUUGUUUUGUACUCUCUGAGUCUGUACUUUAUUUUAGAGACGUUGAAAUCAACUGUAUCUCUUAAGUGAUACUUAGUGUCGCUAAUUCAUUUUUGUUUAUUAGAUAUUGGGCUAUAUGUAUAAAAUUGACUUGAAUUAUUUGAAACCUUAUAUUUGUAAACAACCCAUGCUAUCUGGCUUCAUGUUAAAAAUGAAAUUCAUACUGUAACAUGUGGUCUCCUGUGUGUUUUGCUUGAUUUAUGUGGGUUUCUUCUGUGUAUUUGUGUCUUUUAAGUUUCAGCUGGGCUAUAUAUAGAUUGUUAUAUGGUCAGCUUGUAUUGAAUUGUACUGAACUGAACAAUAUGGCCUCUGCCACAAAGCUGUAGCAAUUUGGCGUUGUUGUCAUCAAUUCCCACUCCAUGUCGACUCAUGAUUAGGCUCGCUUCAUCUCGCAUCAACCAGGAUUUACUCUUGAAAACAUUUGUUCACAAGCUUUUAUGUCCCUCUCUUAUCGUCGUGUGUGAGGAUAAAUUAGUGUCAAGUGGAAAUUCUUUGAACCUAAGUUUUCCACAUGGUGUCUGUGUAGCUGUGGACAGCCCCUUGGUGGCUGUGUAUGGCAGCACGCGUCCACCAGAAGCUGUUGUGUCUAUGCUUUUCAUUAACACCUAGGAAGGUGUCAAUCACGGUUUGCUUCUGCAGGGCUGCUCAUAAACAAAACAGCACGGAAACAAGGUCCAGCUCCCCUGGGUGCCACCCGAGCGGCAACUCCCACAGCCAAAUGCUGAGCCAAAACACAGGAGCAGUGACACGGCAUUCAAAAACGUAUAGCUGACUGUAAUGAACUAACGGAGGCAACUUUCCUCCUAAAAUAAUACGUCAAAAGCUUUUUAGAUACAAUAUUAUGGUAUUAAAACCGAUUCCACUUCUCUGAAAUGUGUCUUGUGGCUAUUAGAACGCUUAAAGAAGCACUAAUCAAUAUUUUUAUAGCAAUAAUGAGUCAAAUGACUAUGAAGUAGGAGCGUUUGCACCAUCUCUGAUUCACAAAAGAUAUGGGGCUAAUGAUAUUACCCAUCAAAUUUUGCUGUUUGUUUUUUUUUGCAUGUUGCAAAGUAUACAAGCACUUGAGGUCAAUGCGUCGGUUGUGAGAGGGUCUUGCCAGAGGAACCUCGAGGCAAUUAAGAGAGAGGAAGGGGGAAAUAUAAGCCCAGGAUUUGUGAGGGAAGAAAUCAUUUGUUUAUCCGUUUAUAUAAAAACAUUAUUUUUUUAUUCAUCUUUUUCUUGUUUUUCCUUUCUCUUGUAUUUUCAAAAAACGACAUGUAGGGGAGCUUUAUUCAGGUAUUUUUCAUGACACAACUGUCAUUGCAUCGUGUCAUUGCAUCGUGUCACUGCGUCCCAAAAUAAACGAGUUUGAGCAAACACCUCUUAUAAAUGUGCUUCAGUUAACACCAACUCUCUGAAGACGCUAAUCAUUUCACUGUAACUGUGUGUGGCUAAUAGCACAGAUCUUUGUGAAUCGGACUGUUUGUACAAUGAGGCUCUUUUGCAUAGAAACAGACUCAUUUUGCGCCGAAUAAAGGCAUAUUUCCUAAUUAAAAUACGUGCCAGUAGCACAGGAGCGCCAAGAAGCUAUUUGCUUGGCAGCACAGGGGUGCAUUUCAGAAUUAUGAGGUUUCUUUUUGGGGUAAUUUCUGCAGGUUUAGUGGCUGCAAAAGCCACGCAUCCUUCUGUGAAUUCGCCCAUAAGUGUAAUGUAAAAUAAUCACCUGACUGUAUUUUCCCUCAGCUCUACUGAGA